AGCACUGUCAUACUCAUAGGCAAGGGCUCAAAAUUCCUCACUUCCUGCUCUGUGCUUGAUCCAGACACCACAUUCUAUCUCCUAUUUCCAACCCAGCUCAGUGCCUCCCACCCUGUGGCGAGCUGUCACGUGAUGGAAUAAAAUCAUGUCCAAGGGGUGAUUAAUAAAAAGCAAGCAAGAAGCAAAGAAGACAAAGAGAAGCCACCUGGCCUCUCAGUGGUCUCCCAGGUGACUCUGCCUUCCAGACAAGUUGAUGCAAAGGUGACUUCAGAUACCGUAUAACUUCAGGAGAGAAAGGUAGAGAUAGCACUACAAUUUCGAGUGCAAGUGCCACAGUGUCAGCUAAAGAAACACAACUGCGGGUUUUCUGCAGAGCGAAAUGGUUCUGAAAUGUCACUGAAUAGCUCACAAAGGACGCCAAUCUACGACAACAGAGACAUAAGCAUAUAGGAGAAAGGGCCCACACAUCCUCCUUUCAAAGUGUGGAGAAAAGAGAGAGAAAGGGAGAGAAGAGUCAUGGACCCUACUUUAUGGUUGCCAUGGAGGCAAGGUCAGCCUUUCACACUUGGAUCUACCAGCAGAGUUCAGACAGGUCAACGUGUGACCGGCUCAGGCCCUGGGGUUAAAAGUUCAAGCAGCGAUGGAAAAACCAAUAUGUCCACGCAGAGUAUGCUGUACAAUUUAUUUCAAUUUACAUCAAGCCAUGCAUAUAAAAUUUAGAUAAAUUCCAUUCAAAUCUGAUGUUGCCUGACACACAAUGUAUGCAAACAGAUGUCUGUGGGGCUUUUUCUGUGCUUUAGAAAACAACAUUAAAUUUAAAAAUAUGUCUCUGGGAUUUCUUUAUUGAAUUACAAAAUGAACAUAAUUUUAACUUAAAUGUUUUCAUUCUUUCUUCCAAUUUUUUUAUGUGGGGGUCUUAAUAAUUUCUCAGUUCUCAAUCUACUCUAUGUCAUAUUAAAGAGGAUAAUGUAUAUUUACAA